rnacentral:rRNA from 1 species
UACGUAGGUGGCAAGCGUUGUCCGGAAUUAUUGGGCGUAAAGCGCGCGCAGGUGGUCCUUUAAGUCUGAUGUGAAAGCCCACGGCUCAACCGUGGAGGGUCAUUGGAAACUGGGGGACUUGAGUGCAGAAGAGGAUAGUGGAAUUCCAAGUGUAGCGGUGAAAUGCGUAGAGAUUUGGAGGAACACCAGUGGCGAAGGCGACUAUCUGGUCUGUAACUGACACUGAGGCGCGAAAGCGUGGGGAGCAAACAGGAUUAGAUACCCUGGUAGUCCACGCCGUAAACGAUGAGUGCUAAGUGUUAGGGGGUUUCCGCCCCUUAGUGCUGCAGCUAACGCAUUAAGCACUCCGCCUGGGGAGUACGGUCGCAAGACUGAA